CUUUCUGCUUCCUGGAAUCCAGGCUGGCUUGGUGACUUGCCGACCACAGAACGCUGUGGAAGGGACAUUCUGGGGCUUCCCAUCUCCAACAUAAGAAGGCAGGACUUGCUUCUGUGAGGUACUGAGCCACCCGUCCCUGGAGGAAAGCAAGAACAGAGCAGAUCAGAGCCCAGGCAGACAUCUUGGAUGAUGGGGUACAUCUUGCCAUCCAGAGGCAAUGCUGGAGCGGGCAGUUGUCUGCGGGGAGGCCCUGGCUCACUCUGGGCCAAAUAACAGGACUGAUUGCAGCCUGCGAUGAAACAUCCUGUUUCUCCCAACCAGAAACAGGUAGAGGAGAGAAGAGCCCCAGUGAGAGAGUGAAGCA
rnacentral:lncRNA from 1 species